rnacentral:rRNA from 1 species
AUACGUAGGGGGCGAGCGUUAUCCGGAAUUAUUGGGCGUAAAGAGUACGUAGGUGGUUUCCUAAGCGAGGGGUUUAAGGCAAUGGCUUAACCAUUGUUCGCCCCCCGAACUGGGUUACUUGAGUGCUGGAGGGGAAAGCGGAAUUCCUAGUGUAGCGGUGAAAUGCGUAGAUAUUAAGAGGAACACCAGUGGCGAAGGCGGCUUUCUGGACAGUAACUGACACUGAGGUACGAAAGUGUGGGGAGCAAACAGGAUUAGAUACCCUGGUAGUCCACACCGUAAACGAUGAGCACUAGGUGUUGGGCUCGCAAGAGUUCGGUGCCGCAGUUAACGCAUUAAGUGCUCCGCCUGGGGAGUACGUACGCAAGUAUGAAACUCAAAUGAAUUGACGGGG